ACGGGACACCUGCAUCUGCCAACAAGACUGGAAGCAGAAAGGGACAGAGACGGCGAAGUUUGACGGUCUGGAAAGCAGAGACCAGCAGGGCUGACUGCUUGGGAGCACCAAAUAUCCGGACAGCGCCUCUCGGGAGGUCCGAGAAGAGAACCGCGAUCUGUUUCAGCACCGGGGCUCAGGACAGUUCCCAGCGGGCUCCGUUUCGUCUCCAGAACCCUGGACAGCUCCUCCAGCCUCCCAAAGUGCUAGGAUUACAGGCGUGAGUCACUGCGCCUGGCCCAAGUCCGGAAUUUUCAACAGGACAUGGGUGUUACUGUGCCCAUGUGACAUUUGGGGAACCCAAGGCCCUGAGAAAGGCAGAAAAAUAACCCACGCAGGGACUCUCAGCCCACAAGUGAAGCUGAGAACCGGGAAUGGAAAACAGGGAGGCAGCACAGAGGCAGGAAACUCAGGUGUCAUAGCUUGGCUCAGCCUCAGGGCUUUUGCCUCUGCUGUUCCUGCAGCUUGGAAUGCACUCCCUCCACCUCCACCCAGAGCUCCCCACAACUGACCCUGCCUUCUUCUGCAAGCUCCAUUUCAUCAAGGGAAACGAUCCUUAUUGCCUCACCAUUUCCCACGUGAAGUCUGUAUUGACAUUCUCAUAGACCUGGGAUAUUGUGUCUGCAGCACACAGUCCAAUUAUUUUCAUGUUAUCUACUGACAGGUCUAUUUGUCUCCCUGUUACACUGUGAGCUCCGUGAGGGCAGAAACAAUGUUAGUAUUUUCACUGCUGUGUCCCCAGCGCCUGGUCCGGGGCCCGGCACACAGCAGGCAUAUAAUAAGCAUGUGUUGAAUCAAUAAAGGCAUCAAAGAAUAAACCAAUACAUCAAUCAAUAAA
rnacentral:sRNA from 1 species